rnacentral:rRNA from 1 species
AUACGUAGGUGGCAAGCGUUGUCCGGAAUUACUGGGUGUAAAGGGCGUGUAGGCGGGGAUGCAAGUCAGAUGUGAAACCCCACAGCUUAACUGUGGGCUUGCAUCUGAAACUGUAUUUCUUGAGUGUUGGAGAGGGAAGUGGAAUUCCUAGUGUAGCGGUGAAAUGCGUAGAGAUUAGGAGGAACACCAGUGGCGAAGGCGACUUCCUGGCCAACAACUGACGCUGAGGCGCGAAAGCGUGGGGAGCAAACAGGAUUAGAUACCCUGGUAGUCCACGCCGUAAACGAUGGAUACUAGGUGUAGGUGGAAAAGACCAUCUGUGCCGGAGUAAACACAAUAAGUGUCCCGCCUGGGGAGUACGGCCGCAAGGUUGAA